GGCCUAACACAUGCAAGUCGGACGGUAACAGGAGAGAAGCUUGCUUUUCUUGCUGACGAGUGGCGGACGGGUGAGUAACGCGUGGGAAUCUACCCUUUAGUUGGGGACAACAUAUGGAAACGUAUGCUAAUACCGAAUGUGCUCUACGGAGUAAAGGUGCCCUCUCCUUGGAAGGUAUCGCUAAAGGAUGAGCCCGCGUUAGAUUAGCUAGUUGGUAGGGUAAAGGCCUACCAAGGCGACGAUCUAUAGCUGGUUUGAGAGGAUGAUCAGCCACACUGGGACUGAGACACGGCCCAGACUCCUACGGGAGGCAGCAGUGGGGAAUAUUGCACAAUGAGGGAAACCUUGAUGCAGCCAUGCCGCGUGUGUGAAGAAGGCCCGAGGGUUGUAAAGCACUUUCAAUUGUGAGGAAGAUUAAGUAGCUAAUACCUGCUUAGUUUGACGUUAACUUUAGAAGAAGCACCGGCUAACUCUGUGCCAGCAGCCGCGGUAAUACAGAGGGUGCAAGCGUUAUUCGGAAUUACUGGGCGUAAAGCGCGCGUAGGCGGACUGUUAAGUCGGUUGUGAAAGCCCUGGGCUCAACCUAGGAACUGCAUCCGAUACUGGCAAUCUAGAGUUUAAGAGAGGGAAGUGGAAUUCCAGGUGUAGCAGUGAAAUGCGUAGAUAUCUGGAGGAACAUCAGUGGCGAAGGCGACUUCCUGGCUUAAAACUGACGCUGAGGUGCGAAAGCUUGGGUAGCGAACGGGAUUAGAUACCCCGGUAGUCCAAGCCGUAAACGAUGUCAACUAGCUGUUGGUCUUAUUAAAAAGAUUAGUAGCGAAGCUAACGCGAUAAGUUGACCGCCUGGGGAGUAC
rnacentral:rRNA from 1 species